AUACAAUCAGUCAAUGAACUCAUCUUAUUGAAAAAAGUGACCCAAUGGAAGCAUUAUUGUUCAAAGCUCUGAAUCCCCCAUGGGUGGGAGAAAGAACCUUCUUGGCAGAGUCUCCCCUCAGCACAGCCACCACCACCUCCAGCUCUGCAGAAAGUUCUCAGAGAUGGCUACUUGGCAAGAUGAGGACAGGAAAGAGAACAGAGGAAGUGAGAUGGGGAAGCUGGGCUCUGGGAUGUUACCAGAUUAAUGAGCUGAUGCGUGCAAAAUGUUGAGAGCAGCACAUGGUAAACACCCUGGUCAUCAGGAGACGGGAUUGAGGAACUCACCUAGCGAAGGGAUUAUAGGAGCAGAAUCCGUGUGAAUCACAUCCACAAAC